rnacentral:rRNA from 1 species
CCCAGGCGGCGAACUUAAUGCGUWAGUGCGGCACCGACGACGUGGAAUGUCGCCAACACCUAGUUCCCACCGUUUACGGCGUGGACUACCAGGGAAUCUAAUCCUGUUCGCUCCCCACGUUUUCGUUCCUHAGCGUCAGUDAUGGCCCAGWGAUCCGCCUUCGCCACCGGUGUUCCUCCUGAUAUCUGCGCAUUUCACCGCUACACCAGGAAUUCCGKUCUCCCCUACCACACUCUWGUYUGCCCGUAUCGRAUGCAGACCCGGGGUUDAGCCCCGGGCUUUCACAUCCGACGUGACAGRCCGCCUACGWGCUCUUUACGCCCAAUAWUUCCGGACAACGCUUKCGCCCUACGUAUUACCGCGGCUGCUGGCACGUAGUUAGCCGGCGCUUCUUCUGCAGGUACCGUCACUUYCGCUUGUUMCCUGCKGDAWGUGGUUUAC